UUCUUCUUCACAUUCUUCCUAUUCUUCUUCUUCUUCAUAUUCUUCAUGUUCUUCUUCUUCCCAUGCCAACUUACCCUCUCUCGGUGAUAACACCUGUCAAACUUUACUCACUAGUAACCAUACAUAACGAACAUCAAGGACCAGAUGUAGGAAAUGAAGUAUUCAUGAUAAAACUUGGUAGGGAAAUUCAGGCUAAAAAAACAGAGCAACGUCGAACCUUCUAGAGCAUAAGUGUUGCUUUUGGAUAACAUGGCAUCAAACUUAUUGAUUGCAGCCAAAUACACCAGAGACAGAAGCAAGCCCUGGCUAUUCUGUUCAUUGUGAAGAACGUGCCAGAGACAAAAGGCAAGACCUUGGAAGAGAUUCAGGCUUCAAUAAACUAUUGCACAUGAGUGGUGUGAAGAAAGUUAGAUGACACAUUCUCUUUGGCCGUAUAAUUGUAUGCAAUGUGUAUCAAAUCUGUAACAAAGAUGUGUAUCAUGGCAGCUAAAAAGUGCAGAAGGGUUCUAUGUAGGUGACUUGGUGUAUCUUUCAAGGAGAGUUAAUUUCCAUCUGCUCAUGCCGUCAGCUGAGAGCAAGCAAUUACAACGCAGUAAUGCUGCAGUGCUAAGCAUCAGAUAGAGUAAUGUAAAGCAGCAGGCAGAGUAUGAGGUAUUGUGAAGUUCUGACAAAUCAGGUUAAAAAGAAAUGUUUCACAGUAACUUUCAGGUGACAGACCUGAUAAUUUAAACCAUGAGUGGCUUAGCCAUCAGCAGGCAUCUGCUCUUCCUCAAGCUCCAUUUUACAU
rnacentral:lncRNA from 1 species